GAUGGCUGAAGAUGUGAAAUUAACCACAGACUAUAUAGAGCAGAUCCUAGUAGCAUUUAGAAAGAAGGCAACACAUAAAUUCAAAUCAAUAUAUAUCUACAUUAUAACCACAAAUGCAACACGCAAAUUAAGGACAGAAAAAAAAAAUAGAAAAAAAUAAACAAAAACAAUACGAAAACUAAAAUUUAAGGAACCGUCUAGCAAAGCUGAACAACCUGCAUUCAUGUGGAGCUUCUAUGGGAAUGCACGUACAAAAACAAAAACGAGAAUUGUUAACUGUUCGGCGUCGGCAGCGACAGCAACGUGACAAUCCAAACACAAGCACGAUUCGUUCAAAACUGUCGCCUGUGUGGGCCAACAGCAAGACUUUUAAUGACAAUAACGUUUAAUUCGCUGCCGCAGCCGCAGCCGCUGCCGUUGCUGCUGCCGCCUCUGUUGCGCUCCGACGCUCUCAGUUCGUAACGGACGCGCUCCCAGCCGCUCGCGCACGGCUGCUGCGAUCACAACGUUUUUAUUUUAUUUUUUUUUUCUUUUUCCUACUCUUACAGUAACUGUUAAGGCUCUGGCGGCUGACUGCUGUGUGCAAAUGUUUGGGGGUGCAGCAGGUGCGCUGUUAAUUAACAGAGCAUGUGUAGGCGCUUUUAAGCGCCAGCCAAAGGUUUUAAAAGUCAAACAACUUUUCACAGAUGUCAAAUGUCUGCGUGUGUGUGUGUGUGUGUGUGUGUGUGUACGUACACAAAUAUAUAGAGCCUAUGUGCAAUUUGUUACACGCAUUUACAAAGCGCUGCUAAGCUUAUGCAUUUACUUGAUAUUUACAAAGGCACAAUUUAAAUAUGAUGAAUAUAGUUAUUAUAAACUCAGA